rnacentral:tRNA from 1 species
GUAGGCAUGGUGCAAAGCAACAUGCCAGACUGUGGCUCUGGCGUUGUGGGUUCGAGUCCCACUGCCUACC